GGGAGGCUAGCUCAGGUGGUAGAGCACUGCCCUUUUAAGGCAGGUGUCCCGGGUUCGAAUCCCGGGCCUCUCA
rnacentral:tRNA from 4 species